rnacentral:rRNA from 1 species
GACGAACGCUGGCGGCGUGCUUAACACAUGCAAGUCGAACGGAAAGGCCCUGCUUUCGUGGGGUGCUCGAGUGGCGAACGGGUGAGUAACACGUGAGUAACCUGCCCUUGACUUUGGGAUAACUUCAGGAAACUGGGGCUAAUACCGGAUAGGAGCUGCUGCUGCAUGGUGGGGGUUGGAAAGUUUCGGCUGUUGGGGAUGGACUCGCGGCUUAUCAGCUUGUUGGUGGGGGAGUGGCUUACCAAGGCUUUGACGGGUAGCCGGCCUGGGAGGGGGACCGGGCACAUGGGGACUGAGAUAGGGCCCAGACGGCUACGGGAGGCAGCGGUGGGGAAUAUUACACAAUGGGAGGAAGCCGGAUGCAGCAACGCCGGGUGCGGGAUGACGGCCUUCGGGGUGUAAACAGCUUUAGCCUGUGACGAAGCGUGAGUGACGGUAAUGGAUGAAGAAGCACCGGCUAACUACGUG